GUGUUUUGUCGUGGGCAGCUUCUCAGAGCACUCACUCUCCCUCACACAGUAGCCAACCCACUCUUUUAUAGCACUCUUCUUAUAGGUUACAGCUGCGGCCUGUUAAAGUCAGGCCUGGUCCUAAUCUUUCAUAAUUGGCCUAGCUGCAACUCUUUAGAGCUUGCUGGGUUGGAACAUCAGGUGCCCAGCCAGGGCUGCUGGUGGGAUGCCUACAGGGUCCAUGUGUUUCCUUAAUGCCUUAUGGACUUGGCUGAAACAGCAGGAGGACAUGAAGAACCCCAGAAAUAAUUCCUUUAAAUCCUGUUCUGAAGGCUUUUCCUCCUUCUCCCUUUCAGAUUCAUGUAUUUAAUUUCCCCCAUUGAAAUAAAGACUAAUGUUGCUGAGUUGGAAA